rnacentral:rRNA from 1 species
UAGGGAAUCUUCGGCAAUGGACGGAAGUCUGACCGAGCAACGCCGCGUGAGUGAAGAAGGUUUUCGGAUCGUAAAGCUCUGUUGUAAGAGAAGAACGAGUGUGAGAGUGGAAAGUUCACACUGUGACGGUAUCUUACCAGAAAGGGACGGCUAACUACGUGCCAGCAGCUGCGGUAAUACGUAGGUCCCGAGCGUUGUCCGGAUUUAUUGGGCGUAAAGCGAGCGCAGGCGGUUAGAUAAGUCUGAAGUUAAAGGCUGUGGCUUAACCAUAGUAGGCUUUGGAAACUGUUUAACUUGAGUGCAAGAGGGGAGAGUGGAAUUCCAUGUGUAGCGGUGAAAUGCGUAGAUAUAUGGAGGAACACCGGUGGCGAAAGCGGCUCUCUGGCUUGUAACUGACGCUGAGGCUCGAAAGCGUGGGGAGCAAACAGGAUUAGAUACCCUGGUAGUCCACGCUGUAAACGAUGAGUGCUAGGUGUUAGACCCUUUCCGGGGUUUAGUGCCGUAGCUAACGCAUUAAGCACUCCGCCUGGGGAGUACGACCGCAAGGUUG